rnacentral:rRNA from 1 species
CCUACGGGAGGCAGCAGUGAGGAAUAUUGGUCAAUGGACGAGAGUCUGAACCAGCCAAGUAGCGUGAAGGAUGACUGCCCUAUGGGUUGUAAACUUCUUUUAUAAAGGAAUAAAACGAGGCACGUGUGCCUUUUGCAUGUACUUUAUGAAUAAGGAUCGGCUAACUCCGUGCCAGCAGCGGCGGUAAUACGGAGGAUUCGAGCGUUAUCCGGAUUUAUUGGGUUUAAAGGGAGCGUAGAUGGGUUGUUAAGUCAGUUGUGAAAGUUUGCGGCUCAACCGUAAAAUUGCAAUUGAUACUGGCAGUCUUGAGUACAGUUGAGGUAGGCGGAAUUCGUGGUGUAGCGGUGAAAUGCUUAGAUAUCACGAAGAACCCCGAUUGCGAAGGCAGCUUACUAAACUGUGACUGACAUUGAUGCUCGAAAGUGUGGGUAUCAAACAGGAUUAGAUACCCGGGUAGUC